rnacentral:rRNA from 1 species
CUUCCGUAAGGGGAACCUGCGGAAGGAUCAUUAGUGAUUGCCUUUAUAGGCUUAUAACUAUAUCCACUUACACCUGUGAACUGUUCUACUACUUGACGCAAGUCGAGUAUUUUUACAAACAAUGUGUAAUGAACGUCGUUUUAUUAUAACAAAAUAAAACUUUCAACAACGGAUCUCUUGGCUCUCGCAUCGAUGAAGAACGCAGCGAAUUGCGAUAAGUAAUGUGAAUUGCAGAAUUCAGUGAAUCAUCGAAUCUUUGAACGCAGCUUGCGCUCUCUGGUAUUCCGGAGAGCAUGCCUGUUUCAGUGUCAUGAAAUCUCAACCACUAGGGUUUCCUAAUGGAUUGGAUUUGGGCGUCUGCGAUUUCUGAUCGCUCGCCUUAAAAGAGUUAGCAAGUUUGACAUUAAUGUCUGGUGUAAUAAGUUUCACUGGGUCCAUUGUGUUGAAGCGUGCUUCUAAUCGUCCGCAAGGACAAUUACUUUGACUCUGGCCUGAAAUCAGGUAGGACUACCCGCUGAACUUAAGCAUAUCAAUAAGCGGAGGAAGGA